rnacentral:rRNA from 1 species
UACGUAGGCAGCAAGCGUUGUUCGGAAUUACUGGGCGUAAAGAGCGUGUAGGCGGUGCUGCAAGUCUGGCGUGAAAUCUCCCGGCUUAACUGGGAGGGUGCAUUAGAAACUGGAAUGCUAGAGGAUGGGAGAGGUAAGCGGAAUUCCUGGUGUAGCGGUGAAAUGCGUAGAUAUCAGGAGGAACACCUGUGGUGUAGACAGCUUACUGGACCAUUUCUGACGCUGAGACACGAAAGCGUGGGUAGCAAACAGG